rnacentral:lncRNA from 1 species
GGGGCUGGCUGCCUUUCCCAAGCACAUCUCCCUGCAAGGAACCCAGAUUUGAUGAAAUCCAAUGCCCUGACAUUACAGUGACCGCUUUGGCUCCAUGGGGCUCAACUCAGACAGAGGUUUGCAGGAAAAUUUGCCAUGCCUGGGUCAUGUGGAUAUCUGAAGCAGGCUGCCCUCCUUUCCAUCUCUUCAGUGCUAAGCAAUGAUCAGCACCCCAUGAAGUUUGGAGAGGAAAUAUACAUAAAGCCUGCGGAGCGUGUUUUCAGACCUGUCCUUAGACAUGACAUUUGCAGAUGAAAUGAUACAUCACUGGACCACACAGUUAUCACAAUCAGCA